rnacentral:rRNA from 1 species
GAGUUUGAUCCUGGCUCAGGACGAACGCUGGCGGCGUGCUUAACACAUGCAAGUCGAACGGAAAUAGUGGAUUAGUAAUAUGAAGCUAUUUUAGUGGCGGACGGGUGAGUAACACGUGGGUAACCUGCCCUGUGGAGGGGGAUAACACAGAGAAAUCUGUGCUAAUACCGCAUAACAUAACUGAAUCGCAUGGUUUAGUUAUCAAAGAUAUAUUGCCAUAGGAUGGACCCGCGGCCCAUUAGCUAGUUGGUGAGGUAACGGCCCACCAAGGCGACGAUGGGUAGCCGACCUGAGAGGGUGAACGGCCACAUUGGAACUGAGACAC